rnacentral:rRNA from 1 species
GACGGAGCACGCCGCGUGAGUGAUGAAGGUUUUCGGAUCGUAAAGCUCUGUUGUUAGGGAAGAACAAGUGCAAGAGUAACUGCUUGCACCUUGACGGUACCUAACCAGAAAGCCACGGCUAACUACGUGCCAGCAGCCGCGGUAAUACGUAGGUGGCAAGCGUUGUCCGGAAUUAUUGGGCGUAAAGGGCUCGCAGGCGGUUUCUUAAGUCUGAUGUGAAAGCCCCCGGCUCAACCGGGGAGGGUCAUUGGAAACUGGGAAACUUGAGUGCAGAAGAGGAGAGUGGAAUUCCACGUGUAGCGGUGAAAUGCGUAGAGAUGUGGAGGAACACCAGUGGCGAAGGCGACUCUCUGGUCUGUAACUGACGCUGAGGAGCGAAAGCGUGGGGAGCGAACAGGAUUAGAUACCCUGGUAGUCCACGCCGUAAACGAUGAGUGCUAAGUGUUAGGGGGUUUCCGCCCCUUAGUGCUGCAGCUAACGCAUUAAGCACUCCGCCUGGGGAGUACGGUCGCAAGACUGAAACUCAAAGGAAUUGACGGGGGCCCGCACAAGCGGUGGAGCAUGUGGUUUAAUUCGAAGCAACGCGAAGAACCUUACCAGGUCUUGACAUCCUCUGACAACCCUAGAGAUAGGGCUUUCCCUUCGGGGACAGAGUGACAGGUGGUGCAUGGUUGUCGUCAGCUCGUGUCGUGAGAUGUUGGGUUAAGUCCCGCAACGAGCGCAACCCUUGAUCUUAGUUGCCAGCAUUCAGUUGGGCACUCUAAGGUGACUGCCGGUGACAAACCGGAGGAAGGUGGGGAUGACGUCAAAUCAUCAUGCCCCUUAUGACCUGGGCUACACACGUGCUACAAUGGACAGAACAAAGGGCUGCGAGACCGCAAGGUUUAGCCAAUCCCACAAAUCUGUUCUCAGUUCGGAUCGCAGUCUGCAACUCGACUGCGUGAAGCUGGAAUCGCUAGUAAUCGCGGAUCAGCAUGCCGCGUGAAUACGUUCCCGGGCCUUGUACACACCGCCCGUCACACCACGAGAGUUUGCACACCC